UUUUGUUCCUCACAAAACUCUACUCUUCUUCUGAUAAAAGAGGCAGCGAAGCUGGAACAGGUAAAAAAAUUUUCUAGAGAAGUAUACUGGGUUGGAUUAAGAUUUAGAGCUGAAAAGAGAGACUGGUAUUGGACAGACAUGACAGCUCUUACAGAAGAACAAAAGUCUUGGGUAAAGCAUCUAGACUCCUACCAACA